GGCGCCUUGGCAGAGUGGUAAUGCAGUGGAUUGCAAAUCCAUUAUCGAAAGAUAUCAUCGGUUCGAAUCCGAUAGGCGUCU
rnacentral:tRNA from 1 species